UACGUAGGGGGCAAGCGUUGUCCGGAUUUAUUGGGCGUAAAGAGCGUGUAGGCGGCUUUGCAAGUCCGUUGUGAAAACUCGAGGCUCAACCUCGAGACGCCGGUGGAAACUGCAAAGCUAGAGUCCGGAAGAGGGGAGUGGAAUUCCUGGUGUAGCGGUGAAAUGCGCAGAUAUCAGGAAGAACACCCGUGGCGAAGGCGGCUCUCUGGGACGGUACUGACGCUGAGACGCGAAAGCGUGGGGAGCGAACAGG
rnacentral:rRNA from 1 species